rnacentral:rRNA from 1 species
UACGUAGGGUGCAAGCGUUAAUCGGAAUUACUGGGCGUAAAGCGUGCGCAGGCGGUGAUGUAAGACAGGUGUGAAAUCCCCGGGCUUAACCUGGGAACUGCAUUUGUGACUGCAUCGCUGGAGUGCGGCAGAGGGGGAUGGAAUUCCGCGUGUAGCAGUGAAAUGCGUAGAGAUGUGGAGGAACACCGAUGGCGAAGGCAGCCCCCUGGGCUGAGAUUGACGCUCAGGCACGAAAGCGUGGGGAGCAAACAGG